rfam:Neisseria elongata subsp. glycolytica ATCC 29315, complete genome.
GGCGGGUCUCCCCGCAUGGUGAGUUGGAGCAACGGGUCAGGGGCGGAAGCCAGCAGCCUACUCUGAUAAGUCAGUGCCGGGGGUUAGGCUCGCCGCC